GGAAAAUGAAGAUUGCUUUGAUGUUCCUCUAUAUUUCAGCAGUCACCCCUGUUUUGCUGAUGCCAAUACAGCACUGGUGGAGGAUUUUAGACCAGGAAGGGAUUGACUCAACUAAAGAGUCUGACCAAGAGAAUGAGAAUGAGGGCAGAAGUCAACCUGGAGGUGAAAAGGAAUCAGGUGAAGAAAAAGAAGAAGAAAAUAAUGAUACAGAUUACAGGACUGAUAUCAACAAUUAUAAAUCCGUAAGUGAUGAAGAUGUUAGUAAAGAUGGAGACAAAGGAGUGAAACUUGUUCUAAACAAUUGUAAAAAAGUUCAUUAUGAAGGUAAUACGGAUAAUAUGGAGGAAGAUAUAAGCAUUGACGAUGACAAAACAUUGGACGAUGAUGACAGUGAAGAUGAAGAUGCUGAUGGUGAGAAUGAUGACUAUGGAUUCAGAAGUAAUGAAAUAGAUAAUUAUAGUUUAGGUGAUGGGUAUAAAACAAUUCAUGGACAUGAUGAUAGUAUUAGUAAGAAUAUUAAUUAUGAC
rnacentral:lncRNA from 1 species